CUUGAUAAACUGAAAGAAGAUCUGAGACAAGACAGAGAAGAUCUGGAGAGAGAAAGUGAGGUGCUGAAUAAAGAGAAAAUGGAUUUGAAGCUGUUGAUGUCUGACAUGAAGAAACAAUUUGAAAUAUUGGAAGAAAAGAGACAAAAUGUAAAAGAAGAGAGAGACUCAAUGGAAAUCAUAAAGCUUGAACUGCUCAAUAAGAUGGAACAUGUAAAAAGGCUGUCACAUGAGGCAAAUAAAGAAAAAGCCAAUAUUAAAGUUUGUAUCCUUCAGGUUCAAAUGGAAAAAGAAAGACUUGAAGACAUUUUAAGCAAGAUUUUCUUAACACAUAGUGAACAAAAAGUCAAGGAAGAUGACCUCAGAAGACAAACAAAAGAACUGGAAAUGAUGAAGAAGCAAUCACAGAGUGAAAGAGAGAAAGUGGAGAGUCUGAUGAGGAAUCUCAACAAGAAGC
ensembl:lncRNA